CGUAGGUGGUUUGUCGCGUUGUUCGUGAAAUCUCACGGCUUAACUGUGAGCGUGCGGGCGAUACGGGCAGACUUGAGUACUGCAGGGGAGACUGGAAUUCCUGGUGUAGCGGUGGAAUGCGCAGAUAUCAGGAGGAACACCGGUGGCGAAGGCGGGUCUCUGGGCAGUAACUGACGCUGAGGAGCGAAAGCGUGGGGAGCGAACAGGAUUAGAUACCCUGGUAGUCCACGCCGUAAACGGUGGGUACUAGGUGUGGGUUUCCUUCCUUGGGAUCCGUGCCGUAGCUAACGCAUUAAGUACCCCGCCUGGGGAGUACGGCCGCGAGGCUAAAACUCAAAGAAAUUGACGGGGGCCCGCACAAGCGGCGGAGCAUGUGGAUUAAUUCGAUGCAACGCGAAGAACCUUACCUGGGUUUGACAUGCCCAGGACGCCGGCAGAGAUGUCGGUUCCCUUGUGGCCUGUGUGCAGGUGGUGCAUGGCUGUCGUCAGCUCGUGUCGUGAGAUGUUGGGUUAAGUCCCGCAACGAGCGCAACCCUUGUCUCAUGUUGCCAGCGGGUAAUGCCGGGGACUCGUGAGAGACUGCCGGGGUCAACUCGGAGGAAGGUGGGGAUGACGUCAAGUCAUCAUGCCCCUUAUGUCCAGGGCUUCACACAUGCUACAAUGGCCGGUACAAAGGGCUGCGAUGCCGCGAGGUUAAGCGAAUCCUUUUAAAGCCGGUCUCAGUUCGGAUCGGGGUCUGCAACUCGACCCCGUGAAGUCGGAGUCGCUAGU
rnacentral:rRNA from 1 species